AAGCGGGGUUCGCCAAAUUGUGGGGUGCGUCAACUUUGCAAGCAUGAUCCGGAGACAAUGGCUCAUCUUUUUUUCAAGUGUCCCUUCUCAGUGCGGAUUGGGAAUAUGAUCAAACUUUGGCUCGGUUGGCACGACCUCGACCCCGCUCGCUGGCAAAGGUUUGACUCCGUCAUUGGGUGGUGGGAGGCGGUCUCAUACCGUGAUGGUAACUUUCCAAAAUCCAACGCUUAAAUCUUCAUGCUUGCCUCCUUGGAAAUUUGUAACGAGCGCAAUGCUAGGUUCUUCUGGAACACAUGCAUGAUGCCUACCAUCGUCUUCUCAAACAUCAAGAAAGAAACAACGCUUUGGAUUAAAGCAGGGGGCACAUCCUUAGAGUCAUAA
rnacentral:rRNA from 1 species